UUGGGAAUCUUGCGCAAUGGGGGAAACCCUGACGCAGCGACGUCGCGUGGACGAUGAAGGCCUUAGGGUUGUAAAGUCCUUUUUUCAGGAAAGACUUAGGACGGUACCUGAAGAAUAAGCUCCGGCUAACUACGUGCCAGCAGCCGCGGUAAGACGUAGGGAGCAAGCGUUGUCCGGAUUUACUGGGCGUAAAGAGCGCGUAGGCGGCUCGUUAAGUGUGAAGUGAAAUCUCCGUACUCAAUAUGGAAACUGCUUUACAUACUGGCGGGCUAGAUGAAUGCAGAGGUAACUGGAAUUCCUGGUGUAGCGGUGAAAUGCGUAAAUAUCAGGAGGAACACCCAUGGCGAAGGCAGGUUACUGGGCAUUACAUGACGCUGAGGCGCGAAAGCGUGGGUAGCAA
rnacentral:rRNA from 1 species